rnacentral:rRNA from 1 species
GACGAACGCUGGCGGCGCGCCUAACACAUGCAAGUCGAACGAGCGAGAGAGAGCUUGCUUUCUUGAGCGAGUGGCGAACGGGUGAGUAACGCGUGAGGAACCUGCCUCAAAGAGGGGGACAACAGUUGGAAACGACUGCUAAUACCGCAUAAGCCCACGGUGCCGCAUGGCACAGAGGGAAAAGGAGCAAUCCGCUUUGAGAUGGCCUCGCGUCCGAUUAGCUAGUUGGUGAGGUAACGGCCCACAAAGGCGACGAUCGGUAGCCGGACUGAGAGGUUGAACGGCCACAUUGGGACUGAGACACGGCCCAGACUCCUACGGGAGGCAGCAGUGGGGAAUAUUGCACAAUGGGGGAAACCCUGAUGCAGCGAGGCCGCGUGGAGGAAGAAGGUCUUCGGAUUGUAAACUCCUGUUGUUGGGGAAGAUAAUGACGGUACCCAACAAGGAAGUGACGGCUAACUACGUG